GUGGGGAAUAUUGGGCAAUGGGCGAAAGCCUGACCCAGCAACGCCGCGUGAAGGAAGAAGGUCUUCGGAUCGUAAACUUCUAUCCUUGGUGAAGAUAAUGACGGUAGCCGAGAAGGAAGCCCCGGCUAACUACGUGCCAGCAGCCGCGGUAAUACGUAGGGGGCAAGCGUUGUCCGGAAUGAUUGGGCGUAAAGGGCGCGUAGGCGGCCUGGUAAGUCUGGAGUGAAAGUCCUGCUUUUAAGGUGGGAAUUGCUUUGGAUACUGUCGGGCUUGAGUGCAGGGGAGGUAAGUGGAAUUCCCGGUGUAGCGGUGAAAUGCGUAGAGAUCGGGAGGAACACCAGUGGCGAAGGCGACUUACUGGACUGUAACUGACGCUGAGGCGCGAAAGUGUGGGGAGCAAACAGGAUUAGAAACCCCUGUAGUCC
rnacentral:rRNA from 1 species